AUGGAGGUGCAGGCCCAAGUACUUCGAAUCAUCAACAAGAAAUCCAAGAAAGAACAGCGAAGGAAAAACGUGACAAGAAAAGUGUUUUCUCGACUCGAGAUGUUAGAAGGUGCUAAAUCAAUUGGUGCCGGAGCUGCUACAAUUGCUUUAGCCGGAGCUGCUGUCGGUAUUGGAAACGUCCUCAGUUCUUUGAUUCAUCCCGGUGCACGAAAUCCAUCAUUGGCUAAACAAUCAUUUGGUUAUGCCAUUUUGGGCUUUGCUCUCACCGAAGCUAUUGCAUUGUUUGCCCCAAUGAUGGCCUUUAUGAUCUCAUCCGUUUUCCAAUCGCAUAAAAAGUCAUGA
rnacentral:rRNA from 1 species